GAGACUCUUUCAUUUCCUUCUACCGCAGCCUCAGAAUUCCCCCCUCCCCCGUAGCGAAACCCUAGCCGCCACGCCAAAACCAAAUCCCGCCGAGCCCGAAAAAUUCCGGCGGGUUCCUUGCCGCGAAUCGAUUGAUUUCGAGCGAUUCGAUUCCUUGUGAUCUCUCGGCGGGGUAGAGCGCGGUCGACCGUCGGCCAUGUCGAGGUGCUUCCCCUACCCGCCACCGGGGUACGUGCGGAACCCAGUGGCCGUGGCCGAGCCGGAGUCGACCGCUAAGGUUUGUUGAACCUUCGGAUUUACACACGCACGUGCCAGAUCGUUUGUUCAAUAUGUAGGUUUUGCGCGGAUCUGUGGUUUGCGCGUGCGUGAUGUGGGUAUUGCCCGUGCCUAAGCUAACCGAGCUGAGGAAGUGUAUGGAUCUUGUGUAGCUGAACGAGGUCCUCCAAAUCGAUUGAAAAAUUUAAGUUGUAUGGCCGGUAGGCCAAGAUUGGGUUAGUCCGGUUUUCGAAAACUGGUAGCAUGGUUAUCGGGGACAUUGAAAGAAUGAUAGAACAUCAAAUUCGAUUCAAAACUGUGCUAGAUUUGCAUAUUUAGUCGCCCUAAAAUUACGUGGACGUGGGUGAUCCGAAUUGGUUGUUGUAUGAUGGUUGGAAUAUGAGCCAUCUAGUGCUUCCGUGACUGGCCAAUUUUUUUUGUUUCUCAAAGUUUUCUUUGAAAAACUGUUUGUCGAGCGUCAAUUCGUAUUUACCUGAAUUUACUAAUUCUUAAUACAGUAUGUCGUUAUUUUGGGCUAAGCUUGUGUAAGAAGGGUCGUUUGACAUUUUGUACUGUAUUAAUGCUGUUUUGUGUUUCUUUGUUCGGAGCAGCAUUCAAUGCUCCUUUUGUUGUUUGAGAGAAUCUGAUAUUUGCCAUCGUACCGAAAGUCCGAAACCAACUAUUCAAAUUGGGAUUUCAUUUCUUUUUUUUUCUACUGUUUUUAGAGUUCUCUUUUUCGCUGCUGUGCUCUUGUGGGUCAGUACGUGCAUUUCUCUCUUUUUUUCUUUUUUUUUUCUGAUGUUACUCUUCUGUUGACCAAAGGAGUUCAGAAUUAUUUUGGCCCUGUAUAUCAAUUUGCAACCAACACCAUUUAUUGAGCCCAUUUUUAGUUUUCUUGUUCUGUAGAGUUAUGCAUUGUUUCAGGUCUUAACUGUUGUCAGGGAAGUAACGUGUUCAACAUGAUUGUAAACGAAUACAAUUCUGUUGCUAACUGUGUAAUGAUGAGAAGGAUAAUUGAAUAGUCUUUGUGAAGUAUUACUGUCUGAACUGUACGCAAAUGCUACAUUCAUUCUGUGUUCAUGUAAAUAUCAUUAUACAUAAAAAUGCUGCAUUGCAUUCCCGUCGUCCGUUCUAAAUCAGAACUGACGAUUGCUCUGGUGGCUGAAGCUCCUGAAAGAAAAGGAAAAGGCCGAAAAGAAGAAAGAGAAAAGGAGUGACAGGAAAGAUCCCAAGCAGUGUGAGACGUCCAAACACUCAAAGCACAGCCAUAAGAAGAGAAAGCUUGAAGAUGUCAUCAAAGCUGAGCAGGGUCCCAAAAGAGUACCCAAAGAAUCAGUUGAGCAGUUGGAGAAGAGUGGACUCUCAGAAGAGCAUGGAGCUCCUUCUUUUGUACAUACGAUACGGGACUCUCCUGAGAGCUCACAGGACAGCGGCAAGAGACGAAAGGUUGUCCUGUCCAGUCCUAGCCAACCUAAGAAUGGAAACAUUCUUCGCUUCAAGAUUAAAAGUAGUCAAGAUCCCCAAUCAGCUGUUCUGGAGAAACCAAGGGUUCUUGAGCAACCAUUGGUCCAACAAAUGGGAUCAGGUUCAUCCCUGUCUGGCAAGCAAAAUUCAAGCCAUCAUAAGAUGAAUGUGAGAUCUACCUCUGGUCAGCGGAGGGUCAAUGGUGACUCCCAAGCAGUACAAAAAUGUUUGAUUACAGAAUCCCCGGCAAAGACCAUGCAUAGACUUGUCCCCCAGCCUGCAGCUAAGGACACACAUCCUGUUGAUCCCCAGUCAGCUGUUAAGGUGCCAGUUGGAAGAUCGGGCCUACCUCUGAAGUUUUCGGGAAGUGUGGACCCUUCGCCUGCUAGAGUUAUGAGAAGAUUUGAUCCUCCACCUGUUAAGAUGAUGUCACAGAGAGUUCACCAUCCAGCUUCCAUGGUGUCGCAGAAAGUUGAUCCUCCGUUACCGAAGGUAUUACAUAAGGAAACCGGAUCUGUUGUUCGCCUACCAGAAGCUGCCCGGCCUACUGUUCUUCAAAAACCCAAGGACUUGCCUUCUAUCAAGCAGCAGGAGAUCAGGACCUCUUCCUCAAAAGAAGAGCCCUGCUUCUCUGGUAGGAAUGCAGAAGCUGUUCAAGUGCAGGAUACUAAGCUCUCCCGGUCAGAUAUGAAGAAAAUCCGCAAAGCUGAGAAAAAAGAUAAGAAGUUCAGAGAUCUGUUUGUUACCUGGAAUCCGGUAUUGAUAGAGAAUGAAGGUUCAGAUCUUGGUGAUGAAGACUGGCUGUUCAGCAGUAAAAGGAACUCCGAUGCUAUCAUGGUUCAAAGCAGAGCUACUGAUAGUUCAGUGCCGAUCCAUCCAAUGGUGCAGCAGAAGCCUUCUUUACAACCCAGGGCAACAUUUUUGCCGGACCUUAAUAUGUACCAGCUGCCAUAUGUCGUACCAUUUUAAACAUCUGGCGAGGUAGAUGAGAAUUAGAUGAGAUGUUGGGAGAGAGCUGUGUGGAUGUGGGAGAUAAUGGGUUCCCUGCCGCAGUUUUCCAGCUUUGUUCCAUAGUGUUUCUUUGAGGCCAAUAGAGUUCUGGCAGAACUUAUAAUGUAAUAUUGAUUAAUUAUUUCGCUCAUGUAUGUAAGCAGUUGAACUGCAAAAUCUUGUUUCUA